rnacentral:rRNA from 1 species
AGUAACACGUGAGCAACCUGCCUUUCAGAGGGGGAUAACGUUUGGAAACGAACGCUAAUACCGCAUAACGUAUACGGAUGGCAUCAACUGUAUACCAAAGGAGCAAUCCGCUGAAAGAUGGGCUCGCGUCCGAUUAGCUAGAUGGUGAGGUAACGGCCCACCAUGGCGACGAUCGGUAGCCGGACUGAGAGGUUGACCGGCCACAUUGGGACUGAGACACGGCCCAG